GUUUUGUUUAUGAAAUAUAAAAAUACAUAAAUGGUUUGUUCGAGAAAAAUAAUGCUCUCCACCCUUCCGGAUUCAUGCAGUAUUUAAACGCUUGUAAUUCCCCUAUACAAAAACAACUUAGUUACGAACGAAAAUAUAUCUCCGAGAACAUAGAGAACAUAAUUGACCUGUCUAAUACAGAUACAUUCAAGGCAGGAAUUUAGCACUUCUAUUGUAAUAGUUUAUUUCUCAAAUUCUCCCAAAAGCAACUGAACAUAGUGUGCAUUUGACACAUUUGCAAGAUCUUGAGCUGGCUAUUCUCGUUAUGAGCAGAGGCCGACAGCGCACAUAGAAUACAAGUCAGUGGAUUUGAUAGAAAAAUUAAACUUUCAAACAGCGCUCGUGCAGGGCUCGUGCCGCGCAGGGAUACAAGAUGUAUGGUCCUCGCCCUGGGAGGUCGAUUGUGAAGCAAGUACUACAACUUAUAAAUCACUCGGCUCGACAACUCAUUCGUGAUGUAACCGUUGCCGCGAGAGUAUGAGAGAAGUUUCCCUUUUUUAAUGCUGAGCGCCAAGCAACGGAGCUACUGGUACCAUUUUUCACGUCUUUGGUAUGACGCAGCCGGGGAUCGACUCUACGGCCUCCCGCAUGCAAAGCGGACGCUCAGCCCUAGGCUAUAGAGGCGGUUAAAGGUGGUGUUUUUUUGGCAGGGACAAUUAAAUGUGGAUAAGAAAUUAAAAUUACACAACACAAUUUUUUUAUAUAUAAAAUGCUUUAUCAAUGUAAUUGAAAUUACACAUAAUCUGAAUUGACAUUUAACUUUUUCUGUUAAUUAGACAUUCAAUAUUCUUAACAUUAGGAAAAUAAACAUUUUUGUUUGUUUGUUUGUAUCUGUAAAAGAAAAUGCUUAAUAAAAGAUCAAGAGUCAGAAAUCUGUA